rnacentral:rRNA from 1 species
UACAGAGGGUCCAAGCGUUGUCCGGAAUCACUGGGCGUAAAGGGCGCGUAGGCGGCCCGGUAAGUAGGGGGUGAAAUCUCACGGCUCAACUGUGAGGCUGCCUUCUAGACUGCCAGGCUCGAGCACAGUAGAGGCUGGUGGAAUUCCCGGUGUAGCGGUGGAAUGCGUAGAGAUCGGGAAGAACAUCUGUGGCGAAGGCGGCCAGCUGGGCUGUUGCUGACGCUGAUGCGCGACAGCGUGGGGAGCAAACAGG